rnacentral:rRNA from 1 species
AUUGAACGCUGGCGGCAGGCCUAACACAUGCAAGUCGAACGAGUCGCGGACGGGUGUGUAAUGUCUGUGAACCUGCCCGAUGGAGGGGGAUAACUUCUGGAAACGGUAGCUAAUCCCGCAUACCAUCGGAUGUGCCUAGAUGGGAUUAGCUAGUAGGGGGGGUAAAGGCUCACCUAGGCGAAGAUCCCUAGCUGGUCUGAGAGGAUGACCAGCAACCCGGGAACUGAGACACGGUCCAGACUCCGACGUGAGGCAGCAGUGGGGAAUAUUGCACAAUGAGCGCAAGCCUGAUGCAGCCAUGCGGGGUGUAUGAAGAAGGCCUACGGGUUGUAAAGUACUUUCAGCGGGGAGGCGUUACCCACAGAAGAAGCACCGGCUAACUCCGUGCCAGCAGCCGCGGUAAUUC